AUCUGUCGUCUGUAAGAUUGCACGUGGGUCUGGGACUAUCAUCUCUCACACCUCUGUGGAAAAAUACCUAAAAUAGUUCAGUUACACACUGGUGAACUUAUGAGAAAUAUAUUCGUCUCCUAACUUUUGGAGAGUGCAUAAGGCUACAUGUUGAUAUUUCAAAUUAAAUAAAAAAGGAUUGGCGUCUUUAGACAUUUCUGUACCUCGCUGCCUAACCUCUAGCUACUUUUAGAAGUACACACUACAUCUUCUGGGACGAUGCUUGCCUGAGGGAAAAAAACACAUUCAAGGUGCUUUUGGGACUUCACAUUCUUUCAGACUCAUAAGCUUUUGUUGGCUAUGACAGACAGGUAAGGCAGAAUCUAGGCUGCGAGCUUUCUAGGCUCUUUGGAAUCGCCCCCUUGUUCUAUAUGCCUGGAAAUGAGGUCACAGACCGUGAGAUGCAAGGAUGUAGGUUUGGAGUCACACUGAGGAAUGAGCUUCCCCAGCAUUGGGCUCAGCUCAGCAGCUCUUUAUUAUGCAAGUGCAGAGACAAGCAUUUGGAACCUCUUCCCCUGCUGAUUAAUGUCAGAAGAAAAUGGAGGUUUCUCUAGGACUCCCUUCUCCACUUUGACCCAUGCUUCCUCAGGGCUUGAUCACCGUAUCUUUUAUGCAUCCCCAACAGCCCAGAUGAUUCCAUCUAGCCUUGCAGCCUGUUUCCCCGACAAAACAGCAGGAAUGCUAUCUCUGCAUCUUCUAUGCAUAUUUCUAGAAUGUUUCUGCAUUCAUUCUGCCACCUGCCACCCUCCACUUCCCUGAGCCCCAUGAUUCUGCUGCAUCCUUCCCAAGGUUGACAUCUUCCAGCCAAGCCCUUGAACUAGUUUGCCUGCAAACACUUAUUCAUUCUUUAGGACCAAGUGCAAGCGUCGCCUCCUCUGAGAAGCCUCCCCGACACUUUGAGGAGGAGAUUGUGAGUUCCUGAAGGACAGGGGUGAUGUUCUCUCCAUUUUUAUACAGCUGUUCAUUAAUGCGGAGCCUGAUACUAAUACCCCUCAAUUUGUGCUUGCGCAAUAAAUGGAAUGAAUUGAAAUUUUCUCAUCUGGAUGUUUUUCCUGUCCUUUACUACUGAGUCUAAAACAUUAACAUCAAUGAUAAAAUCUUGAGUAUAAUUAUUGAAUUAGAGUCUUCCUUGGCAGGAGCUACCUUUUGGGAGUAAGCUAAGUUUUUUGGAAGUUUCAAGAUAUGUUUAGGACGCUGGUUCUGUUCACACCACUGAAGUACGAUAUUAACAGAAUUACGUUAAUCAUGUUGCAGUAUAUUAUGUAAAUAAUUACAUGUUUUCAAUUUAGUGCACUGAUAUGACAAUUUGUUAAAUGAUAAAGUCGUGAACUAAAUAACCAAUGGCAAAGACUCCAAAACUACUUAACGUAUAAAUCUGUUUUUAUUUAAUUUUGGUCUGGAACUAUUACUUUAAUGGUGCUAUAUUGUAACUAGGUUAUUGUCAUAUAAUGACUCACUUUAGCCAGAAUAUAUGUGCAAGUAACAACCAAACGUAACAUAAGCUCUAUGGCGUUAGAAAAGUCAAGCCACAUAUCCUUUUUCCUGUAUAAUAACCACAAAUGCUUUUCAAUGAAAAAACUUGAAAUAAUUCUGUUUAUAUUCACUCACUUAUUUGCAAAAAUAUGGUCCAGAUAUGAUAUCUGCCUUCUUUAUGCUUUUCUCAUAAAGAAUGCUUAGUACCAAGUUACAAGUGUACAAUGGACACGAAUUCCAGACUUGUGGAUUCUGUUAUUCUUUCUUUCCCUAAAAUUAAACCGAAAUGUAUAAUUUUGUUGGUUGACUUUGUUGACUUCCAGAAAAAAAACAACUUGCAACAUUUAUGACAGCCCUCGACUUAAAUUCAUCUGCUUGCAGAGCUGGUUUUAAAAUGAAGGAAAGUACUCCCCCUGCUGUGGGGAUGUGUGGUGUUCUGUUUUACGCUGUGUUUAUUUCUGCUGGGGAAUACUGCUGCUCAUCGAGUUUCAGGUUGCUGGGUUUCUCUAAACAGGGAUUUGCGUGGGAGUAGAGACUGUGGGGGGACAGAGAGGGCAUGCUGCUCUGGGGAGGCUCAGCUCCUUCCUCUGCUGAGCAACUCUGCAGGGAGGCGGCCAGUGCCCCCGUGGGAGUGCACAGUAGAAGCCAAGGCAGAAAAGAAACUUUGCUUUCAGAGAGCGUUUGAAAGCUGAAAGGAUGUCAGUUUUGCUAUUCUCUGGCAAAAUAGCCAAACCGGUUUCAGUAUCCUGUGUUAAUCAGGUCUGGGCUUGUUUGGCUCAGCAAAGAGAUUUCAAAUAUACAGGGCAAAAGAGUUUCCUUGGAGCUUCAGGAGGUCAACGGCUCUAGGAUUUAGCUAGUGAGCGGGGAGGGUACAGAUGCUGCUUGUUAAUACCCAGGUGAAUACUCUUGAGCCUGAAUGAGAUAAUGCCCAAGAUACCCAUGUGGUAAUCAUGUCAUAGCUAGACCCCGGGGAAUGUAACUCUAAGUGUAAAAUUCACCCAUUCCACAAAUAUCCAUUAAAUGCCUACUUUGUGCCAGACUCUGUGCCCCACGAAAUGUCAGGGUAGAGUACGUCUCAAUCUCAUGGAGUUUAGAGACGAAACUUGUUCUAUCAAUUUUUCCACAACUCUAGGAACGAAAAAAAAAAAAGAGAUCUAGAGUUGGAGGGACCCAAAAUUUAUGCCCCUGGACUUUCUCUAUUAAGUUCCUACCUCAAGUGAGAACCUGGUAGAAUGAAUCGAUCAUGAUCAAUUCAUAAAAUGAUUUCCUUUGGAGAAGUGUGCUUGCUGGGCUGCAUGUUAGAAUCCCCAGGCGGGCUUUUGAGAAAUACCAACACCAAGGGCCCACUCAGGACAAGGGAAGUCAGUGUUUCUUGGGGGUGGGAGGCCCAGGCAUCAGUAUUUCAAGGCUCCCAGGUGAUUCUAAUGAACAGCCAGCUUUAAGCAUUUUGGUUUAUUUUGAUAAAUAGGGGUAGUUUGGAAAUUUCACCCCUGAGUCAUAUAUAAAGUGAAGUGGCAUAUUAUAUUUUGUCAGCCUAUGGGUGAAAGCCACUUGAAUUAUAUGGCCCCUGCUGCCAGAGGGAACUCUUGGAAUUCUGUGAGAGAGGUAUUCCUGAUUUUGGAGUAAAACCACUGUGGGGUUGCGGGAAGAUAGAAUAUAUGCCCCUGUGAAGGCCUGAUAAAUCUUGACCAGGAGCGGAAAUUUGGUGUGCAGAAAAUGACAAGUUAGAAUUUGGAUGAUGGAUCUUGUGGGGAGAGGAGGCUGUGGUGAUGGGGAUACCCCUAGAACAGGUUUUGGGGCGGCUUGGCUGAAAAAAUCCCAUGUGGUAAAAGCUAAAGAGGGGACCUUUUAUUUGCUUGGAAAGAACGACAGAUAAGGGAGUUAGUCAAUGGGGAGAUUUAGAGGCCCUGAAAACUCCAGCGAAAAGAGACAAGAUUCCAGAACUUACUUUUCUGACACAAGAAAAUGGAUGGGACCUUCGCUGUUUAAGUGCUAUCUCUUAGCAAUGGAGGGAGAGUGCAGCUCUUGUCAAAUAAAGGAGGGCUUCACUGUAGCACCUGCUGUGAGUGGAUCAGCCAGCGUGGAGUGUCUUUUCCCUCCAGAAACCACUUUGCUGAAGUGCUCUUAAUGUGGGGAGAUGCGCAACACUUCCUCUGCAGCUGUGGCCCUUCACCUGGAGAAACGAAAUGAAAGAGGACUAAGAGGCGAGACGUGAAAAGUACAGUUAGGAGUUGAGAGUUGCUGAAUUGUGGUUCUCCCAGCCAAUUAAGAGCAGGUUUGGAUGGUCCAGGAAGCAUCACGCGGCAGCCUCUCUCAGAGAGGAAAUAGGGCCCUGUGGGUUAAAAUGAAGAUGCUGGAAGACGAGGACGGAGGUUUUUCUUCGUUGGAAGACAUGGAAAUUGGGUUAAGUUUGUAGAGAGGGCUCUACAUGGAAAUGAGUAGGAGAAAUUGCUUCUCUCAGUUUCUGUAAUUCGACGUGUUUAAAUGGGAUGUAGGCUAAGUGAGGUUAGGUAUAUUUGCUGUAAUUUGAGGGAGAGCUAUGACCCAUACUAACUGUAGAAUUUCAUGCAGUGCUUUAUGCUCAAGUCACAACAGCAUCGAAGAUCUGGGAGCUUAUUGACUGAACUCUGAGCCUGCAAUCAUGGACUCACAUUGAACCAGAAUAAUUUUUUCCAGCCCUUAAUUACUUGAGAGUGACUUGUGAAAUGAUUAACUUGGUUAAUUUAUCCACUGAUCAGGUAUCAGUUGAGACUCUCCUCUCUGCCAGGCACUGUUCCGGGCCGUGGGGUAUUGCAAAAAUCCAAGUAGAAAAUAUCGCUCACUGUGGAGCUGACACUCUUGUAGGAAUGGUGAGAUUCAGUUGAUAUUUAUCUUAUUUGACUGCUCAGGUGGUAAGAAGGAUCAGGUUAGGUAUAGGGCAGAUAGGUGAGCUGAACCAGCCUGGGCCAUUUGGAUAUCCUCCUUUAAAAAAGAAAAGAAAUACAAAUUUUACAAGUAACCAGGCAUUUCAGCUGGGCAUAUACUUUGAGUAGUUUUCCUUUCUGCUCCUGAAUUUGCCCAGAUUCAUCCACAGUUGGGGGAAAUGGAAUAGAGUGAAGUUAGCUGGCCUAAAAUGAUCAAACACUGUCCUUGGCCUCUUUCGCUACAUGUUUCCUUGAGUGAUUAAUUAUCUGUGGACUUGAGAUUGAUGUUGGGAACCAAAUCGAAAUCAGUCUCAGAGGUAUUUACUUUGGUGAUUUAAGAUAAGGAGUUUCAACUGUAAUUCAUAGACUCCACAUUAUUCACCGUUAUCUCUGGUGGGGAUUUUAAUCAAUGUUAUACUGUCUUCUACUUAACUGUUUGUUACACUGCUAUAUGCAUACAUAUACAUAAAAGAACAAAACACCCACAUCAAAUAAGUAGAAAUAUAUUCAUUGAAAAAUAUGCAACAGACCCUCAUUAAAACUGAUUUCUUUUUCUUUCUCAGAUUCAGAAAUGCAAUAAGGCUAAUUGUGUUGCCUAGAAAAACUGAUUUUUUUAAGCAAAGAAAUAUUUUUUUGGCUGAAGAACCCAUUCCUUGCCCCUCUCACUUUGCUGUUCAAAGGCCUCGUAUGAGGAUCUAAUGUAUUCAGUAUGAAGUAGAUAAAAGUGAAGCUGUUCAGGAGGAAGCAGCCAUGGGCCGGGGACGCACGGAGCCCAAUCUACCAGCUGCCCAAGCAGGGAGCUCACCUCCCAGGCACUUUUAGGAGUCAAGGGUGGGGUGGAGAGUUGCCAUUCACUGAGACACAAGAGUGUGGUGGGAAAGCUGGACACAGGGUGUGCCAGUUGGAAGCAGCAGUCCAUCCUGGCCCUAAAAUAUCACUGAUAUAACUCUGAAAAUGGUAGUACCUUAACUCUGGUCUCUACCCACUAUAACUCAUGAAACGUAUACGGGGUCUAGAGUGCCCUAGAUAACCCUUGAGUGGAAAUUUAAAGAAAACAUGUUGGGACUGGCCCCAUGGCCAAGUGGUUAAGUUUGUGUGCUCCACUUUGCUGGCCUGGGGUUCGCCAGUUGGGAUCCUGGGCGUGGACCUAUGCACUGUUCGUCAGGCCAUGGUAUGGUGGCAUCCCGCAUGAAGGAACUAGAAUGACCUACAGCUAGGAUAUACAACUAUGCACUGGGGCUUUGGGAAGAAAAAAAAGAGGAAGAUUGGCAGCAGAUGUUAGCUCAGGGCCUAUCUCCUCACCAAAAAAAAAAAGUGAUAAAUCUUGAUAUUCUGUGCCCUCGAUAUGAUGUGGUGAAAAUGGCACUAAAAAAAAAGAAAAUAUGUUUAUGGAAUAUCAACUUGAAUGGACGCAAACUUUUUAGUUGCCUGGGACACCCUGCAUCCUGUCUUGGCCCUCCAGACACCCCAGGGCUUGAUCCCCAGCCCUGCCACUUACUUGGCUGUGUGCUCUUGGGAAAAUUGUUAAUAGUUCAUAGUCUUGAUUUCCUGAUGUGGAGAUGAUAAUGUCUGCUUUGCAGGGCUUUUGUGACAAUGAAACCUAAACACAGUAAGUAAAUGAUGACUAGCAGAUCCAUAGCUAGCAAUGUAACCAGGAGAAACAGAGCAAAAUGCCCCCUAACACCUUUAGGAGGGUUGGGGAAGAGAUUGUCUCUGCUCAGCCACAAAGGGGCUCCUAGACCUGACAGCUCCAUCCUCCACUUCUGGCUGCCAGUGGCAUCAAUGGGGUGGGCCUAGAUCAGAGACAAAGUUGCCAACAGGGCUUUCUAAGGGUAGAGGGAGCUUAAACAUUUGUACAAUUAAGAAAUCGUGCUAAAAAGGUUUUGCUUCAUCUAAAUUUUGAUGUCCAAGGUCAAAGCCUUGGCCAUGCCAUUUAAAUUCAAGUGCUGAUUAGUAUUGUCUCAAGACUGCACCCAAUUUAGUCUUCACAAAUACCUUUUGAGUUUGGACUUUUCUCUCCAUUUUACAGGCAAGGGUAAGGUCUCUCACGUAGUUGGGGAUUAUCAACCUAGAACCAAAAUGAAAUGUGUGUAGUUCGUACACAGUUUAUACCCAACCGUGUAGACCUGGGCUUGGGUUCUACAGAGUGAAAGGCAAAGGUUAGUAUAUCAAAAAAAUUGGAUGGGUGGGUUUGUCAUGAGAAAAACUCACAGAGCUUCCUCAUGAAAGUAUGUGACAUUGGGUCUUCACUGAGAUUUGUAUUUUAAAAUCUCAAGUCUCUGGUCUGUUUUAACUUUUGAACCA